UACGGAGGAUCCGAGCGUUAUCCGGAUUUAUUGGGUUUAAAGGGUGCGUAGGUGGCCUGUUAAGUCAGGGGUGAAAGACGGUAGCUCAACUAUCGCAGUGCCCUUGAUACUGAUGGGCUUGAAUGAACUAGAGGUAGGCGGAAUGUGACAAGUAGCGGUGAAAUGCAUAGAUGUGUCACAGAACACCAAUUGCGAAGGCAGCUUACUAUGGUUUUAUUGACACUGAGGCACGAAAGCGUGGGGAUCAAACAGG
rnacentral:rRNA from 1 species